rnacentral:snRNA from 1 species
AUACUUACCUGGUGCCGGGAUUACCGUGAUCAACUAGGCGGUGUCCCCAGAAAGAGGCGCGGGCAUUGCACUGCGCUCGUGCUGACUUCUGCCACUACCCCAAACUGGGGCAGAUGGGGCAUGCAAUUUUUGGUAGUGGGGGACUGCGUUCGCGCUAUCCCCCU